GACAGAGGGUGCAAACGUUGUUCGGAAUUAUUGGGCGUAAAGCGUGUGUAGGCGGCCGCGUAAGUCGGAUGUGAAAGCCCUGGGCUCAACCCAGGAAGUGCACUCGAUACUGCGUGGCUCGAGUACUGGAGAGGUUGGUGGAAUUCUCGGUGUAGAGGUGAAAUUCGUAGAUAUCGAGAGGAACACCGGUGGCGAAGGCGGCCAACUGGACAGAUACUGACGCUGAGACACGAAAGCGUGGGGAGCAAACAGG
rnacentral:rRNA from 1 species